rnacentral:rRNA from 1 species
CGGCUAACUCCGUGCCAGCAGCCGCGGUAAUACGGGGGGGGCAAGCGUUAAUCGGAAUUACUGGGCGUAAAGGGUCUGUAGGUGGUUUGUUAAGUCAGAUGUGAAAGCCCAGUGCUCAACCUUGGAGCUGCAUUUGAUACUGGCAAACUAGAGUACGGUAGAGGAAUGGGUAAUUUCAGGGGUAGCGGUGAAAUGCGUAGAGUUCCGAAGGAACAACAAUGGCGAAGGCAACAAUAUGGACCGAUACUGACACUGAGGGACGAAAGCGUGGGGAUCAAACAGGAUUAGAUACCCUGGUAGUCCAC